UUAUCGUCUUCUAAAGAAACCUCUAACUCUUCGUCUUCUUCUCUUUCAUGAAAUGACCCUCAAACUAAUAGAGAAGGUCGACCAUCGCCAUCUCCUCCUAUAAGAAUCGCUUGCGGUGAGCAUGGUGUCCGCCGACGUCGUCAGUGCGACCAGCUUCACUCCUCUCUCCUUCUUCGCUCGUGAAACAGAGAGUCAGGGUCUUUCUUCACCUCCAUCCACGGCAGUUGUUGUCUUCAUCAUAUCCAGCACCAUCACACCUCUUCAUUGUCGGCCACCGUAUCUCCUUCAUCCACGACUACACCUUCGCCAAAUUGUUGAAGCCGCCGCCGCUCAGAUCUCGCUAAUUGGAAACCACAUCAUCGACAAACAAUAGUGGCUUUUUACCUAACCGGCAUCGCUGUGAGCUCCCUCCCUUUCUUCCUUCGAUUUUCCGAUCUGGUGAGAGGGGUUUUGCUCCUCCUUCUUCAUUCUUCCCAAAUCCGGUUCGCUUGGAGGAGGAUCUAAUCAGGCUUUGUCUCAUCUCCAUUUGGUACCGGUCAUCGUGCGAGUGGGAAGGCUGGUUCAAAUUUUUAUGAUGAAUUCUAACUCAUUGAUUUUUCUUUGUUUAAGGAAGAUGACAAGGCAAAACUUGUGGAGGAGACAGGGUUGCAAUUGAAGCAAAUUAAUAAUUGGUUCAUCAAUCAAAGGAAACGCAACUGGCACAACAAUUUGGAAAGGGCAUACCUCUUAGCUAUUACUGAAGUUUUAGAAUCUUUCCCUCUCACCUUUUCAAUUGCAAAGGGCAUACCUGUCCCAUCCCAGGUAGGAUCUUGGUUUUCACUACAUUGGUCGUGCCUAUUUGUUUGCAAUAAUAACUUCAACUGGCUUCAGGCUGUGAGUCCUCUAAGAGGUAGUGAUAGUCUUUGAUCUAGUACUUUAGUGUGAUUUUCUCCUGUAGAAGUCCAAAUGUAUAAAUACAGUUUUUUUAUGCUUGAUUACUGAUUUCAAUUUACAUGUAUUUAUGAUGCUUCAAUGAUUUUGUGGUUAAGAGAUACAUAUUUGUGGAAGUUUUUUCAACUGUAACUGGUUAAGGAUAUUGCAAGACAAUAUAUAUUUGGUAUAUUAUUUUACGGUGGGGGUAACUGUGGUCCAUGAAAGGGUUAGUCUUUAAGUCUUGCUAAUGUGAUUUUUAGGAAUAUGAUGGUGACUUCUAGUUCAACCCAUGUUCCUUUGUCUUUCAUUAUAGUCCAUGCAUCUCCUAUAAAACAUUUGUGUAGUUGGUUUUAUUCUUAACUAGUGAUGUUCUAAAUCUGCUUAAGUUACUGCUUAAAAACAUGAAUCUGCUUGAUCAUUUGUGUAUAAUGUUUCACAAGAAAUGAAGCUAAAGUGAGCACUGUCCAUGGUCCUCUCUCAAACAAGGCAACAAGAAUGCAGAGAUGAAGAGGUUCUUGUUGAAGCAAAAAGAAUAGCUGAAUCUCGCAUUCCACCCAAGAUUACCUACAAGAAUACCAGUGGGUCAUCAAAGGAGAAAAAGAGAUAAUGUCAAAUGCAACAAAAGGACUCACUCAACAACUCUGUUGGAUUUUAUACUUUAGAAUAUUUUUGUGGGAACUUUUUAAUUAAUUAUUUGGUUCCUAUUGUAUCAUAGGUUUUAAAGAGGACUUUAUUAGCUUAUAUAUUAUUUUAUUAGGUGUAAUUAAGUAUAAAUGUAAAUCAUUAUUUGAACAAUUUGUUGUGUUAAAACAUGUUUACUAUUUAUUUUAUAAUAUUCAAUUUUAA